GUGGGGAAUUUUGGACAAUGGGCGCAAGCCUGAUCCAGCAAUGCCGCGUGCAGGAAGAAGGCCUUCGGGUUGUAAACUGCUUUUGUACGGAACGAAACGGUCCGGGUUAAUACCCUGGGCUAAUGACGGUACCGUAAGAAUAAGCACCGGCUAACUACGUGCCAGCAGCCGCGGUAAUACGUAGGGUGCAAGCGUUAAUCGGAAUUACUGGGCGUAAAGCGUGCGCAGGCGGUUUUGUAAGACAGGCGUGAAAUCCCCGGGCUCAACCUGGGAAUUGCGCUUGUGACUGCAAGGCUGGAGUGCGGCAGAGGGGGAUGGAAUUCCGCGUGUAGCAGUGAAAUGCGUAGAUAUGCGGAGGAACACCGAUGGCGAAGGCAAUCCCCUGGGCCUGCACUGACGCUCAUGCACGAAAGCGUGGGGAGCAAACAGGAUUAGAUACCCCUGUAGUCC
rnacentral:rRNA from 1 species